rnacentral:tRNA from 1 species
GCCUUCUUAGUUCAGUGGCUAGAAUUUUCCACUAGUAGUUCGUGGCUCAGCGUCGCAUUGCUAUGGAACGGUCACCCGUUCGAUUCGGGUAGAAGGCA